UGUGUAACGACCAAUGAAAUGAAACGCAAGACAUUUUCCACGCAUGACAACCGAUAAACCUUCCAAACGCUGGAAGAGUGGGGACUUGCCAAAACCAGCUGAGUGUUUGUGGGACAUCAUCCCAUUGCCAGUCUCAUGAUGUCCUCAGCUAGACCCUGAGGAAUUGUGGGACGGAUUGUUCCAGUUGGAGGACUGGCUCGGAGGUGCCCAGUAGCAGGUGCACACUUAUCCAGAUGAGUGACUGCUUAAUAGGGAACACCUGUAAUGCAUUUUUGGUCAGCCGUCACCGAGGGAGUAUGGAAGAAGCGGACUGGCAGAACAGAACAGUACUCUCUGUGGACUUUGUCUGAUGACGAGCUUCAUUCCUGCAAAUCAUUCUAGAGUUUCUACCCUGUCGUGUGGAGACCAGGUGGGCAAAACAAGAUGUCUAUGAUAAAUAAAAUAAAAGAACAAUCAGUCAGUUGGAAAUGCCUCCAAAGAUCGCUCCAUCAGUGGAAAAUCCAUUGCAUAACAAGACCUGGACCAGUUAAUUGAUUCCCCGGCCAUGCAGUGGGACGGACCAUGCCUAGGCACGCUUCACACCGCUCAGGUCAGAGCCUGGACAGCAUUUCUUCUGGUUGGGUGAGAGGCCUCUCUGCCGUUGUCAUGGCAGCAACAUCAACAGGAAAUGGUGGACCACAGGCGGUGCUGUGCAUUCUCCCCGUGCUGUUUGUUCCAUGUCUGUCAGCCGUGAAUAAGGCAUAAAUAAGAGAUGGCAGUGGCAGUCAGCAACAAGGUGCAAGGGGAGCUGGGGGACC